GCCCCCUCAAGCCACAACAGACCUUGUAACUGAUGAAGAGGAUGAGGAAACAAUGUCUGCUGCCUUUACAGAGGUGAAUCCAGAAAGGCCUAAAGAGAGCAUGGCUGGGCAGCAGCAGGAGCGUCCCUCAACUUCCACUGCACAGAUUGACACA